AUGGCUAGCAAUGUUACCAACCAGGCAGAUCCUUGAUCAAUGAAUUCCCGUGCAUUCAUUGGGAAUCUCUACACUCUUUUGGUCAAGAAGUCUAAUGUGGAGGCAAUCUUUUCAAAGUACGGCAAAUUUGUGGGUUGCUCUGUGCAUAAGGGCUUUGCCUUCGUCCAAUGUGCUAAUGAAAGAAAUGCCUGGGCUGCUGUAGCUGGAGAAGACGACAGAAUGAUUGCUGUCCAGGUUUUAGAUAUUAAUCUGGAGUGCAGAGCCAAAAGUGAACCAAGGAAAAGCAGUUGUGAAAACGAUCUGCAGCAGAGAUGUACGGUUCCUCAUUUGAACUGGACUAUGACUUUCAGAGGGAUUAUUAUGACAGGAUCACAGUUACCUACCACGUGUUCCUCCUCCUCCUCCUCCUAUUGCUCGAGCUGUGGUGCCUUCUAAACGCCAGCGUGUUUCCGGAAACACCUCCCUAAGGGGCAAAAGUGGAUUUAAUUCAAAGGGUGGACAACGGGGAUCUUCAUCCAAGUCUGGAAAGUUGAAAGGAGAUGGUCUUCAGCCAUUAAGAAGGACCUGACUCAGAUAAAAUAAAAAGUGGAUUCUCUGCUGGAAAGCCUGGAAAAAAAUUGAAAAGGAACAAAGCAAACAAGCAGACAUGUCCUUCUCACCCCCAGUAGAGAUGAAGAAUGAAAAGUCUGAAGAACAGAGCAGGGUCUCUGUGAAAAAAGAUGAGACCAAUGUGAAGAUGUGGGGGAGGGAUGACCAGCUGGAAUUGAUCAAGGAUGAUGAAAAAGAGGCUGAGUAAGGAGAAGAUGACAGAAACAAUGCCGUUGGGGAGGAUAACUUUUAA